rnacentral:rRNA from 1 species
CUACGGGGGGCUGCAGUGGGGAAUAUUGCACAAUGGGCGCAAGCCUGAUGCAGCCAUGCCGCGUGUGUGAAGAAGGCCUUCGGGUUGUAAAGCACUUUCAGCGGGGAGGAAGGCGUUAAGGUUAAUAACCUUGUCGAUUGACGUUACCCGCAGAAGAAGCACCGGCUAACUCCGUGCCAGCAGCCGCGGUAAUACGGAGGGUGCAAGCGUUAAUCGGAAUUACUGGGCGUAAAGCGCACGCAGGCGGUCUGUCAAGUCGGAUGUGAAAUCCCCGGGCUCAACCUGGGAACUGCAUUCGAAACUGGCAGGCUAGAGUCUUGUAGAGGGGGGUAGAAUUCCAGGUGUAGCGGUGAAAUGCGUAGAGAUCUGGAGGAAUACCGGUGGCGAAGGCGGCUCUCUGGCCUGUAACUGACGCUGAGGCGCGAAAGCGUGGGGAGCGAACAGGAUUAGAUACCCUUGUAGUC